CACUGAAAUACCAUGAAUUUUGAUCCCUCCAUUUCAAACCAUUUCAGCUACGGAAAAGCUGCCGUUAAACAAGUUGAAAUUAAGUUGUAACAGAUGCGGAAUACCACCAUGGAUUUCCAGACAGAACCGUAGCCAAUGGGGUUCAGAAAGUUUUUUCAACAGGUCAAGCAAGUGGAACAUUUGCAAGUAUCGAUUUCCAUAAUCAAUUUGGAAACUUGGACGCCAAAUAAUUAGAAAUUUUUUGUUAGAACCCGUUUAAGAUUUCCAAGAAGCCAAUCCUGCAUUUAAAAAAUCUUUAAUUACAUAACUCAAAUCCCUCACGUUCACAGAUUCCUUCCUUAUUGCUGAAGCAUAGUUCACUCGGCAAGGUAUUAAUAAAUGUAAUAUUGGACAGGUUUCUGUUGUUGGAUGAAUAUUUCAAUGGAAAAAAAUAUCUAUAAUAAAAUAUAUAUAAUAAGUUUUUG